GACAGAUCAAUGAGGUCAGAUCACAUGUAAACAUAUCUUACUGGCAGAUCAAUGAGGUCACAUCCCAAUGCCCAUGUUUUGUGAACAGGUCAAUUGUAGCGGUAGUCGUUUCGAUGGUGACGUACUUUACAGUUAUUUAGACCGCGGUGGUUAUUGGAGUCGUUGUUUCCUGGAAGAAACCGUUGUUGUGCAUCAUCUUUCAACGCUCCAACACAUGAUAAUGACCAAACCUGUAUAGGCUAUUUGGGAAUUAAACUUUAAUCAACCUGAAAGCGUUGCUUCAUAGUAGAAACAUCUGUUGGGUUGGUAGAAUGUGGAAAGACCCACCUCAUUGGUCAAUAUUCCCUGUAGUAGAAACAUCUGUUGGGUUGGCAUAAUUUAGAAGUAGCUUUAAAAUUCAUACUUAUUACAAAUCUGCAGUUGUCUGACUAUUAUAUUAUUAUUUAAUGAAAUAAAUUUAAAAAUGCACUUUUUGCCUGGAAAUAAAAUAAACAUUUUUCUGCGUUUCCCACUCCAGUCAACAGCGUUUUUCAGGCGAUGCGCGUCUUUCCGGCGACGGGCUCAGCAUGACGUAUAAUCCCGUGGACGGCACAAUUCUACAACAACAUCUAGUCAGCCACCUCGGUAGCUUCCUAGCCGAUACAUUCAAGCUGUUCAGACUGCUUCGGUGUAUAUUUUCCUCUGUAUUUUAAGCAUAAUUCUGUCAUAUAACUAGUUUCCCAAUUUAAUGUCAUAUUUCCGUUUUGUCAGGUAACGGUAGCUGGCUUGAUAAAUUAGCAUAUCACUAGGCUAGUCGCUAACUAGCUAGGUUAGCUGGCUAACAUCACCGACCAUGGGGUCUCUAAACUACCCCCCUCCUGUUAAAGAAGAGGGCGUCUGCUGGGCGGAGAAAGAAGCUCUGGGGCUGAACAUUGUUGUGAAAGAGGAGAAGGAAGAAGAGGAUGAUGUGACAGUAAAACAAGAAGUAGAGGUUGAGGCUGUUACAGUGAAAGAAGAAGAGAAAGAUGUUUCAGUGAAAGAAGAGGAAGACACGCUCAGAGUGAAAGAGGAGGAGGAUGCAGUUUUUGGAGUGAAAGAGGAGGAAGGGGAGAUGACUGUCACAUUGAAAGAGGAGAAUGGAGAACAGGAGGAGGAGACAGGUGAUCUGAUUAAAACCAGAGAGAGACCAGACUCUGACAGCGGGAAGAGUUCCUCAGAGGAAACAGACCCGGAGACGCCUAACCAACACCACUGCUCCCACUGUGGAAACAGUUUUAGGUGGUUAGUGAGCCUGAAAACGCGUGAGAGAAUACACACAGGAGAAAAUACUUUCCAUUGUUCCCAGUGUGAAAAGAGUUUUAGGUGGUCAGGGAGUCUAAAAAAGCAUGAGAGAAAACACACAGGCGAAAAGCCUUUCCAACAUACUAAUACACAGGAGGAGAAGAUAUACCACUGCUCUCAUUGUGAAAAUACAUUUUCCCAGUCAGAGGACUUGAAAACACAUGAGAGAAUAGAGAGACUGUGUUCUGACUUGUGUUUUUGACUGAGAAUUUGUUUUUGUUUGGACUGUCAGACUUGAGUUUACUUUUUGUAAUGUUAAUUAAUCAAUUAAUCCAUUGUUUGAAAGGAUUAAAAAUACAUUGAAAACAUCAAAAAUAAGUUCUGUAUACCACUACAAUCUACAACGCCAUGUAAAAACAAGAUGACAUGGAGGUUAAAUAAAGUGUGCUUUAUCAAUGGAACAUAUUGUGACACGUCCACUUUGGGGCGCUGUAGAGUCAUAAUAUCCAUAACAACUACAGGUCAAACAGGGAAAUGGCUCCAAUCGUUUAUCCACCAUUCAUUUUUCCCAUAGGGCUGUGUUUUGUUUAGGCUCACCCUGGUGUGAUGUUUUGAUAACCAUGUAAAUAACCAUGUAAAUCUCUCUAGGACAAUGUGACUGAGGGCACAUCGUGUGUUUUGAAUGUAUUGUAAUGUUUUUAAAAUUGUAUUACUGCCUUUAUUUUGCUGGACCCCAGGAAGAGUAGCUGCUGCGUUGGCAGGAACUAAUGGGGAUCCUUUAUUCACAGAUUCGAAAAUGACAAUUAGCAUCAAAGUAGACGACAUGCAAGACUUCAAAUAAUAAUAAACUUCUUCCAUUGUGUAUGAUGGAGGCCACUGUGUUCUUUGGGGACCUUCAAUGCUGCAGAAAUGUUUUGGUACCCUUCCCCAGAUCUGUGCCUCGCCACAAUCCUGUCUCAGAGCUCUACGGACAAUUCCUUUGACCCCGUGGCUUGGUUACCUGUGGGACUUUAUAUAGACAGGUGUGUGCCUUUCCAAAUCGUGUCCAAUCAAUUGAAUUUACCACAGGUGGACUCCAAACAAGUUGUAGAAAAAUCUCACGGGUGAUCAAUGGAAUUAGGAUGCAUCUGAGCUCAAUUUCGAGUCUCACAGUAAAGGGUCUGAAUACUGUAAAUGAAUGUGCAACAAUGUCUAAAAACCUAUUUUUGUUUUUUCAUUAUGGGAUUUUGUGAUGUCAUUAUGGGGUAUUGUGUGUAGAUUGAUGAGGGAAAAAAAUCUGUAAUGUAACAAAAUGUGGAAAAAGUGAAGGGGUCUGAAUACAUUACGAAUGCGCUGUAUACCCCUGGCAGAGUUUUCUACCCCUGGUAGAGUUGUAUACCGUUGGCAGUUUUGUACACAGUCAUGUGACACAUGGUCUAGAAAAAUCCAAUCUUAGGAGAGAACAUGGGAGGCACUAUAUCUGCAGGUGUUUAUCUGGUCAAAACCACCGAUACAGGUGCCCCUCCACCCUUUGGUGGGAUGGAUCAUGCCUACAGAGAAACCUAGAUUCAAAUACUUAGAUGUGUGUGUAUUGGGUAUAUGUUGUGAAAUGGUUAGAUAUUACCUGUUAGAUAUUACUGCACUGUCAGAGCUUGAAACACAAGCAUUUAGCUACACCCGCAAUAAUAUCUGCUAAACAUGUGUAUGUGACCAAUAAAAUGUGAUUUGAUUUUGAUUUGAAAUAAAUGUCCUAUUUAUCAAAGGUGCUUUUGCCUGGGGUCAAAAUGACUCCAAAGGAUUUGAAUUAUUUAAAAGUCCAUAUUGAUACAGAAACACUAAACCAUGAUUUAGAUUUACUAACAAGUUGAUUGACAAAGUAGUGAAAAAUUGAAUAGAAUUGAAUAAACCACAUUUUGGCUAUGAUAAAAGAUAUGCCUCUGGGGUCAAAAUGAUCCCUGUCAGAAUUAUGCUUCAAUGCAAAUAUGUAGUGGGUGAAAAGUUUGUUUUAAUUUCUCACUCAUUAAAAUGUGUACUGGGUGUAAUAUGGUUUUAAAUUCUCACUCAUUAAACACGAAUCGAUCAA